CCGGGCAGGGUGGGGCGGGGCGGGGCGCGCGCGAGCCGCGUCGGGCGCUACGUCACACCGUCACACCGUGCGUUGGGCGCGGUGAGGGGGCGACAGUUCCGGCUGGCGGGGGUGUGGCGGCGGACCGUGGAGGAAGCGGGAGCUGGGGAACAAACCCAGGACACUGUGUGUGCUAGGAUGUCACUCCAGCCCUGAGCUACACCUGUGGCUUUUGAAAUGGGAAUAAAUUGGAAGCAAAAGACCUCGCGUGGAAAAAUUUUCAAUUUUUUAAUAGCUGCAGUAUCAUGGUCAUCACGCUGCUCUUCAAAAUCUUCAUCUUCCUCAGCUGUUAGAGGAUCAUCCCCAUCAAGGUUGCAGCAGGAAUCUGGUCUGACUGAGGCUUCUUUGACACUGAAGAAGAGGUCCUGUGGAGGACCCAUGUGUGGAAGAGCUUGAGAGCCAUCUGCUCGCUGCAGAUUCGAAGGGGCCAGUGAAGGUGACAGCUCAGUGUCCUCUGCGAGUCCGAGGGGUCUGCAACAGAAGCCAGGAGAUGACGUCCAAGGUGAAGGUGAAGACUUCAGCUUCUCGGUGAAACAGAGCGAGGCUUCAUUCUUGGCUUCCCACUUACACCAUUCUGGCCAUGAGACGCCCUAGGGUGGGCCCUCUGUCCUCAGUAAAUCCCCAGCCACACCCAGAGCCCUGCUGCUCUGAUUUAGUCGGGCAAUUCUUACUCAAGCAGUGAACUGUCACAUGUGGGUUGUAUUUAAUUUACAUAAAUUAAAUUUCCACAUACAUAUAUUUCUGUAUGCUUAGGACACAGGAACCUCAUCCCCAAAGGACUGUAACAGCCAUAAAGAAGGAACUCAUUCUUUA